rnacentral:sRNA from 1 species
GCUAGGCAUGGUGGUGCACGCCUGUAAUCCCAGCUACUCAGGAGGCUGAGGCGGGAGAAUCACUUGAACCCAGGAGGCAGAGGUUGCAGUGAGCCGAGAUCGUGCCAUUACACUCCAGCCUGGGCAACAGGAGGGAAACUCCAUCUCCAAAAAAAGAAAAAAAAAAAUUGGCCGGGCGUGGUGGCUCAUGCCUGUAAUCCCAGCACUUUUGGAGGCUGAGGCGGGCGGAUCACGAAGUCAGGAGAUUGAGACCAUCCUGGCUAACACGGUGAAACCCUGUCUCU